rnacentral:rRNA from 1 species
CCUACGGGUGGCAGCAGUGGGGAAUUUUGGUCAAUGGGCGCGAGCCUGAACCAGCCAAUUAGCGUGAAGGAUGACUGCCCUACGGUUUGUAAACUUCUUUUAUCAAGGAAUAAAGUGAGUCACGUGUGCCUUUUUGUAUUUACUUUAUGAAUAAAGAUCGGCUAACUCCGUUCCAGCAGCCGCGGUACUACGGAGGAGCCGCUCGUUAUCCGGAUUUAUUGGGUUUAAAGGGAGCGUAGAUGGGUUGUUAAGUCAGUUGUGAAAGUUUGCGGCUCAACCGUAAAAUUGCAAUUGAUACUGGCAGUCUUGAGUACAGUUGAGGUAGGCGGAAUUCGUGGUGUAGCGGUGAAAUGCUUAGAUAUCACGAAGAACUCCGAUUGCGAAGGCAGCUUACUAAACUGCCACUGACAUUGAUGCUCGAAAGUGUGGGUAUCAAACAGGAUUAGAUACCCGUGUAGUC